rnacentral:rRNA from 1 species
AAACUGGGUCUAAUACCGGAUACGACCAGUCCUCGCAUGGGGUGCUGGUGGAAAGAUUUAUCGGUUUUGGAUGGACUCGCGGCCUAUCAGCUUGUUGGUGAGGUAAUAGCUCACCAAGGCGAUGACGGGUAGCCGGCCUGAGAGGGUGACCGGCCACACUGGGACUGAACACGGCCCAGACUCCUACGGGAGGCAGCAGUGGGGAAUAUUGCACAAUGGGCGAAAGCCUGAUGCAGCGACGCCGCGUGCGGGAUGACGGCCUUCGGGUUGUAAACCGCUUUCAGCAGGGAAAAGCGCAAGUGACGGUACCUGCAGAAAAGCGCCGGCUAACUACGUGCCACAGCCGCGGUAAUACGUAGGGCGCGAGCGUUAUCCGGAAUUAUUGGGCGUAAAGAGCUCGUAGGCGGUUUGUCACGUCUGCUGUGAAAGCCCGGGGCUCAACCCCGGGUGUGCAGUGGGUACGGGCAGACUAAGUGCAGUAGGGGAGACUGGAAUUCCUGGUGUAGCGGUGAAAUGCGCAGAUAUCAGGAGGAACACCGAUGGCGAAGGCAGGUCUCUGGGCUGUUACUGACGCUGAG